GUCACGGUUAGGUCGGAGUGCUUCCGAUCUAUGAGGAAAAGCCAGAAGCCUCACUGUCUGAGUAUUGUGCUAAGGGAUUCUAAGCCGGUGGUGUUGGAGAGAUGCCAGUGUACCUGUGUGGCAGGUACAGCUUUGUGCUGUCAUGUGGCAGCUCUACUGUAUCAGACGGCUAUCAGACUACUCCCAGCUGAGGCUUACAUCAAUUCCCCCAGUGUUCAGCUGCACAGAAACUGAACAAAAGUGGCACAAACCAAGGACCAUGGGUAUUAAACCUGGUCCAGUUAAUGACAUGGUCAUCAUAUCAGCCAGACCAAGAGAGAGGAGGCUUGCAGAAGGAAUAAGA